GAUCAGCCCGCGCCCCGUAAAAAGGGACGGCCCGCCGCAGGAACCCUAAACUCUGUUUUUAGUGGAACUUCUGAGUAUAAAAAACAAAUAAAUCAAAACUUUCAAAACGGAUCUGUUGGUUCUGGCAUCG
rnacentral:rRNA from 1 species